CGGGGUCAGAGAGAGUAAAGAGAGAGAGAGAGAGAGACGGGGCCCGGUCGUCAGCAAGUCCAGGGAGAAGGAAGGGGCGCGCCCGCGCGGCAGUGCUGGGCCGCGGGGUUGAUGGGCCUCGCGCGGGGGAAAAAGAAAAGGGAGGGGGUGUUGGGCCGGGAAGGCCAGGGGGAAAGCUGGGCUGGCUGGGGUUUUCUCCUUUGUUUUCUUUUUUUCUAUUUUUCUUUUUUUCUAAAGCCUUUUCCAAAGAGAGUUUUGAACAAAAAUAAAUGAAGUAAAGACAAACAAACAAAACAAAAGUGCUAUUCUCAGCAUGAAUGCAAGAACAUGUUCCUAACCUUAUGGUAAAUUUUAAUUUUGACAGAAUUAUUUAUUUGCUAUAUUUAAAUGCUCACACAAAUAUACUUAAUUAAAUCCAAUUAAUUCCUAGUAAUUGAAAUUCAAAUUUUGGGUGUUACAAAUUCUACCCCCUUAAAAGAAUCUCGUCCUCGAGAUUGAGCAGUGCAUAAACAAACCAUUGUGGAUAUGACCCUCUCCAAACAUCCUCUCUUUUCCAAGUUGCUUUACUUUGCACACUCUAAUGGUCCAACUUCUGGUAACUCUUUUUAUUUGUCCCUUCAGCUCUUCUAACUCAUGUAUCCCC
rnacentral:lncRNA from 1 species